UAUAGAUUCACAGUAUGACGUCAUAAUGUGGGAAGACAUGAUGUCAUACUGUGUAUUCCCACAUUAUGACGUCAUACUGUGUAUCAAUA